UGAGCUCUUUUUUAAAGAUCAAUGGAAUAAUCAUAAAGAUAAUAUUUUAAUAAAAUAUUUGUAUUUUUUUUCCAAAGACAUCUUGAUAAUCUAAAUUUUGGCUUAAAAUGCCACUUAAAAUGUUUUUUCCAUCAAAAAUAAGUGUGAAAUAUAUAAUAAAUUUUGACCUUUCUUUUGUAACAUGCAUGAAAGUUUUUGCACCAACCAAUAAUAAUUUAGAUGUAUUGGUCUUAUGGAUUUUUACUUGUCUAGAAAAAUUUUGGCCUAAUUUAUGAAAAAAAUUAAGAUUAUGAGAAAUCUAGUCUAUCUAAGAGUUAUAUCGUUUUAAUCACAAUAAUCCUGAAAUAAUUAAAUUAAAAAGAAUUAUAAUCAUAUUAAAUAUUAUAAAACUAUUAUGACCAAUAGUUGCUAGUUCUCUAAGAAUGGUUUCAUGUGUAACAUCCUCAAAAGACAAUAAAUGACUAUCUAUUAUUUC
rnacentral:lncRNA from 1 species